CUUAAACUUACAGUUUAUUGCUUAAUUCACACUGUUGUAUACUGUUGCAGUAUAUAAUGACUUCAGGAAAGUUAAGGCUUAUACCUGCGGUAUUUUCCAGGUUAUCCCUAGUUACCAAGUUACUUUCUCCCCAAGAGUUCCAUCCGGUAAUUAGUAACUCGGAUUCACUAACAAAACUUCACCCCAAUUCCAUUCAUGAUAAUUUUGACAAAGUUAAAGGGUUUUUAGAAGGAUGUACUCUUAACAAUCAAACAAAUUGUCCAGAACAAGAGCCUAAGAACAUCUCUUCUGGUUCAUCAACCUGGAGCUUACGGCAGUCGUUUCAAAGACAAAUAAAAGAACUUUUUUGCUUAUCCAUCCUUAAAAAUGAUUCGCUGACUAUCGAAAAGCUCCUUGAUAGAGACUAUCUAGAGCAAGCAGUUCAAAUUUUUUCUGCUAACGAAAAGUAUUUAACUACUCUCUGUUAUAAAUUUUUUAAAGAAAG